UACGGAGGGUGCAAGCGUUGCUCGGAAUUAUUGGGCGUAAAGGGUAGGUAGGUGGUCUCAUUUGUCUGGGGUGAAAGCCUUGGGCUUAACUCAAGAAGUGCCCCGGAAACGGUGAGACUCGAGUCCUAGAGAGGGCCGUGGAAUUCCCGGUGUAGCGGUGAAAUGCGUAGAUAUCGAGAGGAACACCAGUGGCGAAGGCGAGUCUCUGGACGACUCCUGACGACUGAGGCACGAAAGCUAGGGGAGCAAACAGG
rnacentral:rRNA from 1 species